AUGCUCUCAAUGGCCACGCUACUGCUUGGAAUGCUCUUCACACCAAGAGAAACCAGAGCCCAGUCAGUGACCCAGCCUGACAAUCACAUCUCUGUUUCUGAUGGAGCCCCUCUGGAGCUGAGGUGCAACUAUUCAUCUUCUGGUGUACCGUAUAUCUUCUGGUAUGUCCAAUAUCCCAACAAGGGCCUCCAGCUUCUCCUCAAGUACUUUACAGGAGAUACCCUGGUCAAAGGUAUCAAAGAUUUUGAAGCUGAAUUUAAAAAGAGUGAAACCUCCUUCCACCUGAAAAAACACUCAGCCCACUGGAGCGACACAGCUGAGUACUUCUGUGCACAGGAAAGAGAUAGCAACUAUCAGUUGAUCUGGGGCUCUGGGACCAAGCUAAUUAUAAAGCCAGUUAUCCAAGACCCUGACCCUGCUGUGUACCAGCUUCAAAGCCCUAAAUCCAGCAACAUGUCCGUCUGCCUGUUCACUGACUUUAAUUCUCAAGCAAAUGUGUCACAAGCCGCAGGGUCCAGUGUGUUCAGGUCGGGCCAAACUGUGCUGGACAUGAGGACCAUGGAUUCCAAAAGCAACGGAGCCCUGGCCUGGAGUGACAAUGUGGAUUUUGCAUGUAAUAACAUCUUCGAGGAGACCGACGUCUCCUUCAACUCAGGACUACCCUGUGAUGCCAAGUUGGUAGAGAAAAGCUUUGAAACAGAUAUGAACCUAAACUUUCAAAACUUGAAAGUGGUUGGGCUCCGCAUCCUUCUCCUGAAGGUGGCUGGAUUUAACCUGCUCAUGACGCUGCGGCUAUGGUCCAGCUGA